rnacentral:rRNA from 1 species
AUUGAGCGCUGGCGGCAGGCUUAACACAUGCAAGUCGAGCGGGGAAAGGUAGCUUGCUACCUGACCUAGCGGCGGACGGGUGAGUAAUGCUUAGGAAUCUGCCUAUUAGUGGGGGACAACAUUCCGAAAGGAAUGCUAAUACCGCAUACGCCCUACGGGGGAAAGCAGGGGAUCUUCGGACCUUGCGCUAAUAGAUGAGCCUAAGUCAGAUUAGCUAGUUGGUGGGGUAAAGGCCUACCAAGGCGACGAUCUGUAGCGGGUCUGAGAGGAUGAUCCGCCACACUGGGACUGAGACACGGCCCAGACUCCUACGGGAGGCAGCAGUGGGGAAUAUUGGACAAUGGGCGAAAGCCUGAUCCAGCCAUGCCGCGUGUGUGAAGAAGGCCUCUUGGUUGUAAAGCACUUUAAGCGAGGAGGAGGCUACCGAGAUUAAUACUCUUGGAUAGUGGACGUUACUCGCAGAAUAAGCACCGGCUAACUCUGUGCCAGCCGCCGCGGUAAAAC